rnacentral:misc_RNA from 1 species
GUAGUAGCCCGACCAGGGGAGGAAGAAGGGCAGAGGGCACGCAGGGAGGUGGAGGCACCAUGGGAGGGGGCGAGCAGAGCUGCUGCUCAGCCAUGGGAGAGAGGGGGCGCUGGGGAAGCUGCUGCUCCCUACGCUGAAUCGGAUCGGAGGGAAGCUCGGCGUGUGCUGCUGGAGAUGGUCGGCUGGAGCAGAGGGACCUGCGCCCAUGGAGCAGGGAGGGGCGCCGAGGGAGGUGCUUGCUGCUCGCUAGAAGGGGGCGCCGGCCAUGGAGAGGAAAGGAGCCGUGCUCCCUGUUGCUGGCGUGGGGAAUCCAGGGAGGAAGAUGGCGUGGGGAGGGAGAGAAAGGCUGUUGGCGGCUGUGGGUUUUCUAGGGGUGGGAGUGC